rnacentral:lncRNA from 1 species
UUGUAGGGUUCGUUGUUAGCCCGGGGUAAAACAACGAGUUGGGUAGUUCACUCGAAAAACUACCGGAUUGUAGGGUUCGUAGUUAGCCCGGGGUAAAACAACGAGUUGGGUAGUUCACUCGAAAAACUACCGGAUUGUAGGGUUCGUUGUUAGCCCGGUGUAAAACAACGAGUUGGGUAGUGCACUCGCAAAACUACCGGACUGUAAUCGCUGAUUAUAGUAGAAAUUUCCAAAGGUGUUUGGAGAGUGGAUGUAGGAGCAGUGGAAGCUCCGAACCACUAUAAACUUUUGUGUUUGCGAUUGACUGUGGUUACAACUUUAGUUUCACUUUUGCACAUACACUUGUGUGUUUUCUUUUAAUCAGACAAAAAGUUUUUAAAACACCCAAUUCACCCCCCUCUUGGGUUGUAUCUACUGGGCAACAA